CAGACCCUUCCUCUCUGACUUUGUGGCAACUUCCUCCCUGCUGGUCAUCCCACUUCCUCUCCUGGACUCCUGCCCUAAUGACAAGAUACAGUCCAUUGUUUUGAGGAAGUCAGGAUGGGAAUUCCAGAAGCCAGUCACAUCACAUCUGCAAGAGCAAGCAAGAGUCAAGAGCAAGCAGAGAACCAAUGCAUCUUUACUUGCUCUAAGUGAGCUUUCUCCUUUCUCAUACUCUUCAGGACUACUGCCACACCUAAGGAAAGAUGUCACAACAAGCUGGGUCUUCCCACAUCAAGUAACCAUCAAGAUUAAUAUUUCUCAGACAUACCCACAGGCCAGCUUGUUCUACAUUGUCAACUCAAGUCAUCAGUUAAAACUAACCAGUACAAAGAAAAAUGCAAAUCAAAAUCCCAUAACACCUCAGAAAUAGCCACAAUGGUUCAGCUGUUUUAUUAGGGGGGUUGUAUUUUCUGGUCUUCACUGGAAGUUGACCAGAUAUUAAUGUGUAAUGCUCUGCUCUAGUAAUACUGCUUUUCUAACUACUUUGAAAUACAAGAUGUUCAGAUGUGGAGGCUUUCCCAUGGAAAGAGGGUAAGACUCUCAUUCUCAGCCCUUUCUUCCUCUCUUUAAUUUAUGGCACCCUUACCUCUCCCAUAGUCUCUUUACUGUAUUAACUUGGAUAAUAACAGUGUACUUAAUGUGUGCAAGAUGAUAUGAGGUGCAAUACAAAAAGGCAUUGCUUAUCC
rnacentral:lncRNA from 1 species